rnacentral:lncRNA from 1 species
AGAAAAGUUGACCCUCUUCCCUUAGGGAAUCGUGUGCAACUGCAUAAAGGAGCAACAGACCCUCAGCCAUGUCAGAUGAGCUACUGCUGCCUUUGCUUUGUCUAUGCAAGUUUUGUCCAGGAUCAGAGGAAAUAAUGACAGAUAUAAUUAAUCUCAUGUUCGAGUUUUUCGAAUCAGCCAAUGAAGACUGUAAGUAAUAAUUGCAUGAGUAACUGCAGAAGGGAAGAAGUACAUUGUGGUGUCUGCUGCAAGAUCUAUUUUUCUGGAAACAAUGACUAAUCCAGCUUUUCCAGUGGAGGAUUUGAUGCACAUCCAGGCUGUGUGCAUGAAUCAGUGCUGAGGAUCCACACACUGCAGCUCUUUUUACUCCUGGUUUUGCUUCUGGACUGGAAAAACCCGAAUUGGUACCUCUUGUAUCCAUUGCAUUGCUGCAACUGCUGGGAAAGGAUCAGGGGAGAUGACAGCAGAGGCCUUCUGCUGCCUGCACAGGGUUCUCCCACCAUGUCACCACCCAAAGACGUGGCAGGUUUCACCUGAACUGAGUUUUCAGUCUGGUGCAGCAUUUGCUCACCUGGUGUGGUGAAACACUGUGAGCACCAAAUCCCAAGAGAAGAUGCUGAAGGAUGUGGAAACCACUCUUCAAGGUCAUCCCAGGAAGACUAAAGGAAUUAAAGGAGCCAGAAUUGAGAAGUCUUGCAGAAAUGUCUUCCCUUCCUCCUAAAAGGACUGUGGUGGAGAACAUGAAUUGUGGUGUGUCCUGUGGCUGGUGAGAGAAUGUCAGAAGUGGGCACCUCUCUGGAGACAGGAAUCACAAAAUCACAGGUUUCC